UACGUAGGGGGCGAGCGUUACCCGGAUUUACUGGGCGUAAAGCGCGUGUAGGCGGCUGGCCAAGCGUGGUGUGAAAUCUUCGGGCUUAACCCGAAAACUGCAUUGCGAACUGGUCUGGCUAGAGUGUGUGAGAGGGUAGUGGAAUUCCCGGUGUAGCGGUGAAAUGCGUAGAUAUCGGGAGGAAGACCAGUGGCGAAGGCGGGUCUCUGGACAGUUCCUGACACUGAGACACGAAGGCCAGGGGAGCAAACGGG
rnacentral:rRNA from 1 species